rnacentral:rRNA from 1 species
GUCUGCUCGCUUUAAAGAGCAGUCUGGCCUGCCCACUGAUAAAAAAUUUAAAGGCCGCGGUACCCUAACCGUGCGAAGGUAGCAUAAUAAUUAGUCUUUUAAUUGAAGGCUGGAAUGAAAGGUCGGACAAAAAGCAAACUGUCUCAGCUUUACUUAUCGAAAUUAACUUCUAAGUGAAAAGGCUUAGAUAAAUUUGGAGGACGACAAGACCCUAUAAAACUUUAUACUUCAAAUGUACACUUCGAAUUAUUUGUGAAAACUUGGAUACACCUAAAAGUAUUACGUUGGGGAGACGAAAGUAUAACCCGUAACUGCUUUGAUUUUAGACAAUGAUUUUUGAAGCCAUUGAUCCUUUUUAGAUUACAAGAAAAAGUUACUUUAGGGAUAACAGCGUUAUUUUUUUUAAGAGUUCUUAUCGACAAAAAAGUUUGCGACCUCGAUGUUGAAUUAAAAUUUUCCUCUCAAUGCAGCAGUUGAGCAGGUAGGUCUGUUCGACCUCUAAGAUUUUACAUGAUUUGAGUUCAAACCGGCGCGAG